GAGAGUUAAAUAGUACGUGAAAUUGUUGAAAGGGAAACGAUUGAAGUCAGUCAUGCUAGUGAAAAUUCAGUUUAACGGGUUUUGGGUUUAGGAGUAAGAGGUAGGGUUAAACCGUCUCUCUUUUAAACUUGGGAUUUGUCGGAUGCACUUUUUCUUUGGCAGGUCAGCGUCGAUUUCGGGGGUUGUAAAAUACUUGGGGGAAAGUAGCUCUGCUUCGGGAGAGUGUUAUAGACCUUGGGAGAUGCAGCCCGUGGGAUCGAGGAUUGCAGCAAAUGCCUUUGGCUUGUCUUCUGAUCUUUGGUUGUUACCUCGUUUAUGACAACAUUCUUGUCAUCGAUGAGUUCUAAUGGUUAUGGGUUAGAAUGAUCAAAAAUUUGCUAAGGAUGCUGACGUAAUGGCUUUAAACGA
rnacentral:rRNA from 1 species